rnacentral:rRNA from 1 species
CUACAAAGGAAUUGACGGGACCCGCACAAGCGUGGAUGAUGUGGUUUAAUUCGAUGCAACGCGAAAAACCUUACCUACCUUUGACAUGUACGGAACUCGCCAGAGAUGGCUUGGUGCUCGAAAGAGAACCGUAACACAGGUGCUGCAUGGCUGUCGUCAGCUCGUGUCGUGAGAUGUUGGGUUAAGUCCCGCAACGAGCGCAACCCUUGUCAUUAGUUGCUACAUUUAGUUGGGCACUCUAAUGAGACUGCCGGUGACAAACCGGAGGAAGGUGGGGAUGACGUCAAGUCCUCAUGGCCCUUAUAGGUAGGGCUACACACGUCAUACAAUGGAUGGUACAAAGGGUCGCCAACCCGCGAGGGGGAGCCAAUCCCAUAAAGCCAUUCGUAGUCCGGAUCGCAGUCUGCAACUCGACUGCGUGAAGUCGGAAUCGCUAGUAAUCGUGGAUCAGAAUGUCACGGUGAAUACGUUCCCGGGUCUU